GGGACACGCGUCAUAACGCGAUGUCUCAGUCUCUCUCUUUCUCGACUGAUUCGGUUUGAUUCCGAAACUACCACCACCGGAAUCGCCGCCGUCUAUCAAGUAUCGAAAUACCUCUUUUUGGUUCUGUUAAUCGGUUAAAGUUUGGAUUUUGAUAUUGUUUCUUACUUUUGAAUUUGAGAUUAAAAGCAUUAGCCUUUUUUUGUUUGCUCGGCAGAUAUGUUACGGGAAUGUACUUGCCAUUAUUGAUGCUAUUCUGGAAACAUUAAGAUCCAUUAAAUUAGAGAUAAAGAUUGAAUUUUUUUGUGCUCUGUUUUGGUUUCAGAGGAAAGAUCUGCAGAGAAGAAGAAGAAAAAGAACAAGGAGACAAAAUCAGAAACAAAAGAAGAGAAGAGAGCAGAGAAGGAUGAGAAGAUCUUGCCAGAGGAGAAGAACACAACUUCUGUUGCGCUUCCUUGCAUUGAUAAGCUUCGAGACGAGUUGUCUUGUGCAAUUUGUCUUGAGAUUUGUUAUGAACCAAGUACUACAACUUGUGGACACAUGUACAUCUUACUACACAACAAACACCACAUAGUUGUCAUUGUGCGGUCAAUUUGGUACUGACUUGUUGUCUUUUGUAAGUUAAUGAGAUUUAAAGCUUCGAACUUUAUCUAACAAUGGUGUUUAACUAUGCAGAAAUGGCAAAUACUGCACGGUUAAUACAGUUCUUUGGAACACAAUUCAGCUUAUGUUCCCUAAAGAAGUGGAAGCACAGAGAGCUGCUGCUUCUGCUAACUUCCUAACCAAGGAAACGCCAAGCCCUAGAGACUCUAAUCAGAAGGUAAGAAGCAGGAACAGAGAUACGGCGUUUCAAGCUAGGUUGCAGAGAGAGGAUAUCUCGAGGUUACUUGUGUCUGAAGAGAGAAGGAGGAGAGGCGUGAGGUUGGAUCAAGAUAGUGAUGCAGCGUUCGCGUUGCGGUUACAGCGGCAGGAAUUUGCGUCUGCGUUUGGCGGUACGGUGGCUGAGACAAUUUCCUCUUCUUCUUCAUCAACGGCUCUAGCCUUUCUUUUGCUGUUACCUAAACAAAUUUGAUGUACUGAUACAGGUUGCAGAGGGAUGCAUUGCCUCUUUUCAGUAUGCUAGUAAAAUUUAAGUCUUGCAUAGAUAGAGAACCACUUCUUAAAGAGGUAUGCAAGAUUAGUCUCUGCAUGUUUUGAUAAUUAUUAUUAUCUUAUUCCUUACUCUUGUUAUCCCUCUUCUUUCAGACGCAGAUAACAAACUCAAAGUCGUGAAAACUCCAAAUGCUGUGAAUCCCCUUGUGCUUGGUUCUUUUGUAAGUUUUUCAAUCUAAGAGCUUGAAUAUAGAGUUAGCUUGUACUAUGUUUUAAGAAAAAAAUUAAGUUUAAUAAAAAAAAUUGGUGUUUAAUUAAAAAAAAAAAUUUUAAAAAAACCUUUAAAAAAAAGACUUGCAAUGGAGCACGUUAAUUUUCGAGUAUCUUAAUCCAGUAUUUUAAUUCACUUUUACAAUUAAAAAGUAUUAAUAGAAUUAGUACUUUGCCAAUAGUUUAUUGGUUUUGGAUGUAUGAUUUCCUCGUAAUUCAUUUGGUAAAACUUAUUAAAAGGCUUAUUUUGAUGGUUAUGUCAUAUGUGAUACUCGGGAUAUGGAGAAAUCAAGAGAGUGAGAGUGCAGCUUCAAUUAUUGUUUCGAACUUUGUCGUUUCUCGCAAAUGCUCAGUACAAAGCUGUGCAAAAUAUUUGGCUUUUCCAUUUUACUACGCAUUUUCACGUUCAUAUAAAAAAUUCAUCGCAUAUGCAUUUCAACUUAUCCGUUGUAUUUUAACAAUUUUAAAUCUUACAAAAAUACCUUACACAAGACUAUCUGGUGUUGUUUUGUAUUUUAAAAGCUAUACUCAUGUAAGGAAGAACUUAUUCCAAGCAUAUAUUUAAUCCUUUUAACACACAAAUAAGGAUUACAUCAUAUCAAAAUACAUCCAAGUGA